UUAUCUACUAGUAAUCUAAGAAAGUAAGAUGAUCUUUAAAAACCUUUUUUGCCCUUAAGUCUAAUUUUUUUUCGUUUUUGUUUGCUCCUUCAAUUGGGGGUAAAAUGGCCUUAUUUUGAUGAAAGUUCUCUUAUUCAUCUAAGGGCCACCUUUUUCGUCUAUGACAAUUUUGUCCUUCACUGAAUACACUAACAAUUUGAAUUUAUAAUGGCAAAACUUUGACCAAUUUGGGAAUUUCACAAAUAUGUUUCACAUUGUCCAAUGUUGAGAAGAUUCAAAUUUCAAAUAUCAUAUUCUCCCUCUUUUUCUCUCAUUAUAAUCAAUAAUCAAUUUUGUGUUCUCUCUCUCAAUCUACACAUAUUCAUGUUGUCUCUUCUCUAUCAUUUUCUCUUUUCUUCUGCAUAUUUCUUUCUUACUACUAAUGUUUGUUCUUCUCAUUUAUUUUGCAGAGAAAGAAGAAUAAAAGAAAAUAAAAUGUUCACGAAGGUAUGUACCAAAACGAAACUCACAUUUUCUUUGUUCAUCUACAUUUUUUAUUUUUUAUAUCAUGUUUAACAAACAUAUACAAACAUAUUUUCUCUUCAACUUUCAUUUACAUAAUGAUUAUACAGAAUAAAAACAACUACUAACAAACAUAUUUUUUCUUUAACUACUAACUUUCAACUUUCGGAAACAAAUUUGUUGCAGGAAAUAAAUAAGAGCUUAGAAGAUUUUAAC
rnacentral:lncRNA from 1 species